AACGAACGCUGGCGGCAGGCUUAACACAUGCAAGUCGAGCGCCCCGCAAGGGGAGCGGCAGACGGGUGAGUAACGCGUGGGAAUCUACCCAUCUCUACGGAAUAACGCAUGGAAACGUGUGCUAAUACAGUAUACGUCCUUCGGGAGAAAGAUUUAUCGGAGAUGGAUGAGCCCGCGUUGGAUUGGCUAGUUGGUGGGGUAAAAGCCUACCAAGGCGACGCUCCAUCGCUGGUCUGAGAGGAUGAUCAGCCACACUGGGACUGAGACACGGCCCGUGCUCCUACGGGAGGCAGCAGUGGGGAAUAUUGGACAAUGGGCGCACGCCUGAUCCAGCCAUGCCUCGUGAGUGAUGAAGGCCCUAGGGUUGUAAAGCUCUUUCACCGGUGAAGAUCAUGACGGUACCCGGAGAAGAAGCCCCGGCUAACUUCGUGCCAGCCGCCGCCGUAAAAC
rnacentral:rRNA from 1 species